rnacentral:lncRNA from 1 species
GAUCGGCAGAGAGCGAUUGACUGCAAACCAGUCGGUUUGCCGGGUGCCUCUUUCUAUGCUAGCCAGCCUGUCAGUCCUCAGCACUUGUUGUCAUCACCUCACUCCCGACGGUGAAUAGUAUUGUAUGCCUGGGAACUCUUGCUGUUACAGAUGGACCUGCCACAUCCACAGCUCGAACCUGCCAGACUUCUUGACUCCUUCUGCUCUGUGGAGAAGAUACUGCAGUGCAGCUGUUCCUUCCAUGGUGUCCCCACUCCCUCUGUACGAUGGUGGGUGGACGGAGCUCCUGUGGAUGUGAACAGUGGACAUGGCCACUUCCAGGUGGCCUCCACCACACUUGGUCCCUGGGACAACAGCACCCUCAGCCUGGCUAGGAACUCAGAAAUGGGCACAGUUCUUCUCUGUGAGGGGAAGAACCAACAUGGAAUCCAUGGUUUGAGCAUCCUACUGAUGUCAAGAAAGGGCCCUUUGGCUCCCCAGAUUUUCCUGGAAGCUCUGCUACGGGGUGUUGUCUAUGCAGCCAUGGCAAUCACACUACUUUUUCUCUGCCUCCUCCCAUUAAUGUGA